CUCUCGAACCUUCAAGAACAGCUUCUCACCUCUGGCUGUGCAUUAGAGUGAGCCAGAGAACUUUAAAACUUACCCAUACUAGAGUCCAAUGCAGCCAAGUUAAAUCAGUGGCUCUGAGUAGGGGGCCUGGGCAUUUACUUCACUUUUUUUCUUUUUUUUUUUUAAAGCUCCCAGUGAUGCUGAUGUGCAGCCAGAUUUGGGAACCACUCCUCUAGAGUGUUCUAGAUGGCAAGCAGGCCUAAUCUAUCAGAGAGCAAAGAGGAGAUGGAAGCUGGUUUGGAAAUGGCAUCUGUUGAAACGAAUGUCAGCCUGCAAGGAAUUAUACUGCCUGAAGAGGAAUUUAAAUGUCCUGAGCCUGUGCAAGUAUCCGAAGUGACGGAAUGCGAAAGAAAUGGAACCCAUCAGUUUUAGCUGAGUACCAGACUGCCCAGCCAACAGUGGCAUUUUCCAGGUUCCCGUGCAGGUAGGUGUUGCCAUGUAUGUGACUUCUGGGUAUUCCCUUGAAAGGAUGGGGCAUGCCAUCCACUUUUCCUUUUUAUCUUCAUCCUGUGGAGGGAUGACAGGAACUAGUAAUUUUAGAUCUGAGAUAGAAACCUUAGGCUCAAGAUGGCAGAACAAGACAAGACAGAAGGAGCAUGGGUCCCCAAUAAGAUAGCAUGGCCAUAUUAGUCCUGAAGUGUUUAUGCUGGACGGUUGUGUGAGAGGAAAUACACUUCACGCUACUGUUUUGGCCUUAUUAUUGAAGCCAAAUCUGUUUUCUUACAGAAUAACCAAAUCUUAUCAAUGCAAGCUGCUUCAAAUUGCCAAUUCCAAUGUCCAUUUCUCAGCCCCUACUCUUCUAGAUUUCUCUGCAGCACCGGGCACUGUAGAUGCCCUUUCUUUCUGAAGCUUUCUCCUCCUUCUGCUCCCCUGCUAUUGCACAAGCCUGAUUCCCUCCCCACCCCUCUGAUUGUUCUUUCUUUGUGGAUCUCAGCAGCUUCCCACUCUCCCUCUGUCCUUUAACUGUGGCCCUUCUCCAUUGAUUUUUCCCCUCCUUUAGUAAGCUGAUUCCAGCUCAUAAUUUCAACCCUUUCUUCAGACCUUACUAGCACUGCCUGGGUCUGCCUCCUGGACAGGUGCAGAUACUGAGCACAUAGCAGUAUGGUGGGAUGGUUAAGAGCACAGACUCU